GCGAUGGUAUGUUGGUCGUCGUUCCUGCCCCAUAGAAAGCAAGGGAUGGAUGCUGUAAGCCCCGCUAACGGCGAAAAAGCCUUUGCAAGCACACACACACCCCUCCAAAUUCAUACUACCCAGUGGACAAAAUCUUCGGCAACGCGCAAGCCCCUAAUACAUUUCCUGGCCUCUGUGCCACGCCAAGAACACUGUCGUGCGACCUUGUCCGCAAGAAAGAUGGUGCGAAGAGCUACGAAUCCAUUGGUCGAACGCUUCCUCGCUGGACAUCUAAAGCUCUGAGAUCUGUACAGAAUAGUAGUAGUAAGUAAAUCCCGCUCUUCCAGCAAACUCUGUUCAAAGCUGUCCCGUUAGUCGAUUAUCUGGAAUGGUUCAUAAGGGUUUCACAAAGCUUUGACUUGGUAUCUGAAAUUUCUAAGCGAAGAGCCACAAUUUCCGCUGUCUUGCGAUGAACUUUAUUUAAAAUAAGAUAUUGUAACCUCUUUCCAGCUAAUGGUUUCUCUACCUCUUAUAGUAUCCACUCGGUUUGAUGAUGCUGAUCAAGAAUAUACUAUGUAUGUAUGUACCAUAUAGGGUCGCAAACGCUUUCUUCUUGGUGUUGCACACAUCCACCUCCACUUCGGGUAUAAAAUCCAAAUUAUGCGCGUAAAAAAUGAUGGCUGAGGGAUAUGGUAAAACUAUACAUAUAAUUCUUCAAAUAAAUACCUUAAACCAAUUGUAUCACUGGAGCCAAUGACCUAGUUCACCAAGAAAAUUUUAUCAGGGAUCAAUGAUGGAUCUCCUACGAUAGUUCUGAUGAUCGCACAUAAAUAAAUGAAUUCAUGAUCAGCUGAAAAGAAGCGUUAAAAUAGUAUGAUACUUAGUUCGUAUUUAAUAUGAUUUAGGAUUAAAUGAAAGCUUAAAUCAAGAAACGAAAAACGCAAAGAAAGACAAGCUGACUGCUGUGAGACUAUAAGCUGGGCGCUAAGAAUCUAUAAGACGGCGGCUGUCAAAGCUAGCUUGUAUGAAACUAUCAAAGCUGGCUAUCAACAAUUGUUAAUUUCAUUGGAGGAUAAGCUUAAUAAUACAUGUUGCGCCCAACAGCACACUAUGUGCCUUAACAGCACUCUAGCAACUGCAUUCAUGGCGCCUUAUAGCACAGAAUUCAGUGUUUUCAUAUACAAAAAACAGUCUGUUGCCAGUUGGCGGGAAAAGAAACAGGCAGAAGAAUCGGUUCUUCUGGGCCAAAUGAGAUGGCGGUUCACAAGCAGAUGAUUAUAGGUGGCGGCGAUGACGACGAAAGACGGUCUUGCCAGUCGUGUGCUCCUGAUGCUGCUGGGACGGUGGGAGUCCCAACCAAAUUGCUACGUUAGCCGCUAGCUGUUGGAUCUGGAUGAACGCGGGUGGUGAUGGUGUCAUCGAGUUGAGUUGACAAAAUUCCUCAUUGACACGGCCACCGAGACCUGGGACGAGCAGAACAAAAAAGGAAGACCGAAAAGGGAGGGACCGGCUUCGACGAUAUUUAUAAACCAAGUAUUUGGUGUUUUGAUUCUUUCAGUUUUUGGAUAUUAUUAGAACUAUUAUGGU